CUUCCUCUAUAGGAAGGAAAAAGAUGCCAGGGGUGGAGAGGGAGGGAUGGUCCCAGAAAGUGGAGAAAUGAUAGUGGUUUCCUGAUACCAUGCAUGGCCUUGAGGACAGGGGCUGGCCUCCGUCAUCUGUUUGUGAACAUCUGAGACACUGCUGCACCUUAGUAAUGACUCCUGAAAGGAAAACAGGGUAGUUUCAGUGAUCGCACAGGCGUCUCACCCAAGUGGAAAAUUCCUGUGCCUGACAUGUGCCAGCAGAGGUCCCAUCUGGCCUUGCAUUGUGGUGAUUGACGUCCACGUCCAUCUUCCGUUGUCCAUCCUGAGCUUGAGGGCAGCACGCCCCGCUGAGCCUGCAUCUCUCUUAGUACCCGUGCUUUGGUGCACACAAGGCCGCGGGGACCCAGUGGGUCAGACUGACCGUGCUGGGCCGGCCUCUGCCUCCCCGCCUCUCUGCCUCAUGUCUUUGUGUCUUUUACUGAUGGAUUCUAAUGCUUCCACUGCUAGAAACAAAGCCCUGACAAACUUCUCUUUCUUGGAAGGGCUUACC
ensembl:lncRNA